UACAACUUUCAGCAACGGAUGUCUAGGYUCCCACAACGAUGAAGAACGCAGCGAAAUGCGAUACGUAAUGCGAAUUGCAAAACCUCGUGAAUCAUCAAAACUUUGAACGCACAUUGCGCU
rnacentral:rRNA from 1 species